rnacentral:rRNA from 1 species
CGUGGGAACCUACCCUUUGGUUGGGAAUAACCGCGGGAAACUGCGGCUAAUACCGAAUAAGCCCUACGGGGGAAAGAUUUAUCGCCGAAGGAUGGGCCCGCGCCGGAUUAGCCUGUUGGUAGGGUAACGGCCUACCAAGGCUACGAUCUGUAGCUGGUCUGAGAGGAUGGUCAGCCACACUGGGACUGAGACACGGCCCAGACUCCUACGGGAGGCAGCAGUGGGGAAUAUUGGACAAUGGGCGCAAGCCUGAUCCAGCCAUGCCGCGUGAGUGAAGAAGGCCCUAGGGUUGUAAAGCUCUUUCACCGGGGAAGAUAAUGACGGUACCCGGAAAAGAAGCCCCGGCUAACUCCGUGCCAGCAGCCGCGGUAAUACGGAGGGGGCUAGCGUUGUUCGGAAUUACUGGGCGUAAAGCGCACGUAGGCGGCGUGUAUAGUUAGGGGUGAAAGGCCUGGGCUCAACCUGGGAACUGCCUCUAAUACUGACACGCUAGAAUUCGGGAGAGGGUAGCGGAAUUCCAAGUGUAGAGGUGAAAUUCGUAGAUAUUUGGAAGAACACCGGUGGCGAAGGCGGCUACCUGGACCGAUAUUGACGCUGAGGUGCGAAAGCGUGGGGAGCGAACAGGAUUAGAUACCCUGGUAGUCCACGCCGUAAACGAUGAGUGCUAGUUGUCGGGGGGUUGCCCUUCGGUGACGCAGCUAACGCGUUAAGCACUCCGCCUGGGGGAGUACGGUCGCAAGAUUUAAAACU